rnacentral:rRNA from 1 species
CAUCUUUUCUAGUAUUUUAUUUGAGAUCUGACCUGCCCCAAUGAUUUAUUUAAAUGGCCGCGGUAUUUUGACCGUGCAAAGGUAGCAUAAUCAUUAGUUUAUUAAUUGUAGACUUGUAUGAAUGGUUGGACGAAAUAUUAACUGUCUCAUAUUAAUUUUUAUAAUUUAAAUUUUGAGUUAAAAUGCUUAAAUAUUUUUAUAGGACGAGAAGACCCUAUAGAUCUUUAUUUUUGAUUUUUUUAUUUAUUUUGGUUUAUUUUUAUAUAAUUAUUUUAUUUAUUUUGUUGGGGUGACAUUGAUAUAUAAUUAACUAUUUAUUUUUGAUAUUCAUUUAUUUUUGUUUAUUUGACCUUUUAUUAUUGUUAUAAGAUUUAGAUACCUUAGGGAUAACAGCGUAAUUCUCUUUGAGAGUUCAUAUCGACAAGGGAGAUUGCGACCUCGAUGUUGGAUUAAGAAAAUAUUUAGGUGUAGGUGCUUAAUUGUUAAGUCUGUUCGACUUUUAAAUUCUUAC